GCAUAUUAGUAAGCGGAGGAAAAGAAACUAACCAGGAUUUCCUUAGUAGCGGCGAGCGAACAGGAAAUAGCCCAGCACUGAAUCCCGCGGUUGUAACGAUCGCGGGAGAUGUGGUGUUCGGGAGGUAUCGCUUUCUCGUCGUCGCCGCUCCUGUCCAAGUUCGUCUUGAACGGGGCCGUUUUCCCGUAGAGGGUGCCAGGCCCGUAGCGACGGAGCGAGACGGCGAGAGGUACUCUCCUCAGAGUCGGGUUGCUUGAGAGUGCAGCCCUAAGUGGUGUGGUAAACUCCAUCUAAGUAUUGACUAU
rnacentral:rRNA from 1 species